UACGUAGGGUGCGAGCGUUGUCCGGAAUUAUUGGGCGUAAAGAGCUCGUAGGCGGUGUGUCGCGUCGGCCGUGAAAACCUGGGGCUUAACUCUGGGCGUGCGGUCGAUACGGGCAUCACUGGAGUUCGGCAGGGGAGACUGGAAUUCCUGGUGUAGCGGUGAAAUGCGCAGAUAUCAGGAGGAACACCGGCGGCGAAGGCGGGUCUCUGGGCCGAUACUGACGCUGAGGAGCGAAAGCAUGGGUAGCGAACAGG
rnacentral:rRNA from 1 species